rnacentral:rRNA from 1 species
AGGAUGAACGCUGGCGGCGUGCUUAACACAUGCAAGUCGAACGGAGAAAGGGUAGCUUGCUAUCUUUUCUUAGUGGCGGACGGGUGAGUAACGCGUGGGUAACCUGCCCUUUGCAGGGGGAUAACAGUGAGAAAUCACUGCUAAUACCGCAUACCAACUUCUUUCGCAUGAAGGAAGUUUGAAAGAUUUAUCGGCAAAGGAUGGACCCGCGUUGGAUUAGCUAGUUGGUGAGAUAACAGCCCACCAAGGCAACGAUCCAUAGCCGGCCUGAGAGGGUGAACGGCCACACUGGGACUGAGACACGGCCCAGACUCCUACGGGAGGCAGCAGUGGGGAAUAUUGCACAAUGGGCGAAAGCCUGAUGCAGCGACGCCGCGUGAAGGAUGAAGGUCUUCGGAUUGUAAACCUCUGUCAUGGGGGAAGAAGUAAGUGACGGUACCCCAAGAGGAAGCCCCUGCUAACUACGUG